CUACAGGUAGUUUGAACUGUGCAGCUUUCACCGCUGGUAUCAUUGAGGCUAUACUAAAUGGAUGUAACUUUCCGGCUAAGGUAACUGCUCAUUGGCACAAAGGAACCACAUACAUGAUCAAAUUUGAAGACUCUGUUAUUGCUAGAGACAAAUCUCUGGAACAACGCUAGUCUUUCAGAAAAGCGUUUACUGUACAACCUGUGUAUAAAUACCGCUCAAGGAUGACAAGAAAGAAGGACUUAAUUGGCAGGUUGCUGUCUUAGGACCAUUUGGGAUGGACAGGACGGUGUCUCUCUAGGAUGAUCCUCUUUCUUUUAUUACAUGGUCUAAGGAGAACUACUAUUCAUGAGAAAGAAGUAAAUGUGGUCUUAAUAUAUACCAUUUGCCAUCUCAAAAUAUUCCAGUGGCAUUGCACAAAGUGAAGAUCAUGUACCUGACUUCAUGGCAACUGACAACUCUUCCACUUCUUGGUGACACUGAAGAUGCCAUUAGAAUGAUCUGUUGGAAGGACUUAAGAUUUAAAAAAAUAUUAUUUACAUUUACCAGUGAUGUAUGAUGAUGGUUUGAAUUAUUAGGAGCCAGGAACAUGUCUUGUACUGCUAUACUCAUUGAAUAUUGGACCAAAACUAGAUAUUUGGAGGAGCACAUUGUGAGAGGCCUAUGGGAGAGACAAUCAUUUGGCCUUUUUAAAAGGGGAUGUUGCGUCUGGAAAGCAUUUUGUCGACAUUUUUUAUCCACAAGUUGUCAUAUCUUUGGAACUUUCCUUUAUUUUGAUAAGCUUAGGAGCACAGUACCUAUGGUAACUGUUAGAUAAAAUAUACUUUGUCAGAUGAAAUGUCUAACAAGUCCUUUCAUGUGAAAUACUCCCCUAGAUGUUUUAGCCAGCUUGUGCCAAUGUACUGUAUGUGUGGCAAGUGUUUUUUCUCCUUUUAUCUGAUGUGAAGGAUCAUUUGUGUUGAUAAAAAAAAAAUGAAUUUAGAAUCAAAUAAACAUACUUUUUAUGUAGUUUGUGUCCAUCAGCAUAUGCUGGCUAAAGUGGUGUGUCAGCCCCUAUACUUGUACAUGUAGGGACAUGUACUUAUUCAUCUAUUAUUAUGAAUUAGAUAAAUUAGAUUCGACCAAUCGUGUCGCUGAAUAUAAAUUUAUAUAUUUUAUGAUUGAUUGGCUGCUGAGCCUUUACUACGAUGCUACUUUAACAUAAUGGGACAGUUAGCAUGAUUGAAAGUCCUUCAUGAAACAACCCCCAAAUCUACCUUUCAACAUACUGAGAGAUUUUGUUGAAAGAAGCCUAAAUUAAUGACACUUCUUUGAAAAUAACCUUUAGCUAAAGCAAUUGGAGACGUAUACUAAGCCAUUAUGAUGUCAAAAUAGCAAAGAAUUAAAGCCUCUUUUAGCUUUGGUAAAUUCCCCAAAAUGUGGCUAUCACUAUUCCAAAUCAUUACAAGAUUAUAUGAAUGUGUAUGAUGCCCUAAAACAGUGUUUUACAGGAUACAUUUUGUGAUUGUACAUGAAUAUGUAUUUUGAUCGGGUACUCGAUCAAAAUGUAAUGGUUUUUCUAUUUAUUAGAAACCCAUUCCAAACUGUUAACUUGGCUGAAAGUUUCAGGAUAUAUUACUUUGCCUGUAGCCUCUAAUUAUCCAAUUUCUAAUUUUUUAAGAUAAAUAAUAAUAAUAUGCAACAUUUAUAUAGGGCUUAAUAUAAAGCGCUGCAUACUAUUACCUUGGCUUUAGCAUGGCUACUCUGAGCAGACGCUUGAGCAUUCAAGGAUUUUGUUCCUACCGGAUACCCAUUUAUCACACCUCAUUGCCCAAAAAGACUUAUAAUGGAAAAUGAAAAUAGUGUUAAGAGAGGGCGUUAGAUACAUGUAAUUUGAUUUGAAUAUCUAGAUAAUCAUGGAGAAUUGGCAGUUGAAAUAAUAUCGAACAUCUUCUACGAAUUUUUAAGAUUGGAAAGUUAGACGAUACUCAAGUAUAAUGCACAUUUUUUACCCCUUACCCCCCCCCCCCCCCCCCGGAGUUCUAAUGGUGCGUCCCUUAGUGGCUUUAAUAGGUAAUUUGUAGACUUGUUUUGUAAAAAGACCUACAUGCACAGACAAAUUUUGUGUGUGUGGCUGGUUUGAAUGUUAUGAAGAAAAAAUAGAUAUGACUCUUCGAAGUAAAACAUGUAUAGGUAAAAGUAUCAUAGCAUCUCUUUGUGUAGCAAUGAAAUAAAUUUAGUAUCCGAAUUGUGCAAUACCAGCCUCAUGUAAUUAUAGAAAUUCGUUAAUGUAUGAAUUUUUCCUUUGUAAAAGAAGAAUGUCCUUGUCUGGUAGAUUAAAUGUGAGUCGAGUGAUGAAUUAUAUUAUUGUAUUUUAGUGCCGUCAUGUUUGCGAGCACAUCGGAAUCAAAUGACCUUUAGUAGUUAUAUACAUGUAAAAGCACUUGGAGAUGCUAUUCUGAGUACAUUAAAUGCUCUACAUGUACAAAAGUGGAA